GAUGAACGCUAGCUACAGGCUUAACACAUGCAAGUCGAGGGGAAACGAUAUUGGAAGCUUGCUUCCGAUAGGCGUCGACCGGCGCACGGGUGAGUAACGCGUAUCCAACCUGCCCAUCACUUGGGGAUAACCUUGCGAAAGUAAGACUAAUACCCAAUGACGUCUCUAGAAGACAUCUGAAAGAGAUUAAAGAUUUAUCGGUGAUGGAUGGGGAUGCGUCUGAUUAGCUUGUUGGCGGGGUAACGGCCCACCAAGGCGACGAUCAGUAGGGGUUCUGAGAGGAAGGUCCCCCACAUUGGAACUGAGACACGGUCCAAAACUCCUACGGGAGGCAGCAGUGAGGAAUAUUGGUCAAUGGACGAGAGUCUGAACCAGCCAAGUAGCGUGCAGGAAGACGGCCCUAUGGGUUGUAAACUGCUUUUAUAAGGGAAUAAAGUGAGUCUCGUGAGACUUUUUGCAUGUACCUUAUGAAUAAGGACGGCUAAUUCCGUGCCAGCAGCCG
rnacentral:rRNA from 1 species